GAUUCUUUCUCUCACCGCGGCAGAGGGUGCUGGCCGCCUCCCCACGUUAGCCACGUUCCUGGCCUCCCUCCGGAGCAAGCGAACCCUCGGCUAGUGGACCACGUGCCCCAGCCGCCCUUGCAGCUCAAGCGACACGAGUUUUUAUGAGGAUCAGAAAUGGGGGCUUGGGAUGUUUCCUUCGAAGCUUUUCCCAGAUUCCAGAGAGUUUUAGGCCAACCCAGGGCUCCAGGAAGCCACCGGGCGCCUGCACUUUUCCAGACAUCAGCUGAAGGGGCGCAAACAUCCUGAAAGCUAAUGUAAACUUGGCAUUCGGAGUCUCCACGUGAAACUGGAGGCCGGCUGGCCCCAGAGGCAAACAGAGACUGCAUUUACAUGUCGCCCCCACGACCUCAUUUCUAAAUUCAAACAAGGAUUCUGGAAGCGCUCAUCAACCCCCUGACAAAGCAUCAAGGCGUCCCCUCGAAAUGUUGUCACCAGCUGGGCUCUUCCAGACUCUUCGAGCAGCUGUUAGGGCCCCGGGUUCCAGCCUCCAACUCCCUCCCAUCACAUCACGGACCUCUGGAGACUUACCCAUCCCCCAGGACACAAACCCCACUCUGGCAAGGCACUGCGAGGAAGCCAGCGGGGCUGGCCAUUGUGAGCACGGGGCCCGGCAGCAGGAGGUUUGAAUUUCCUGUCCUUUGGACGGAUCACGGCACCCGCCUCACCCCCAGCCCCCGUGGCCCGGCACCCUCAGGAGGCCGUCCUGGAAGGAGGCCAGGAGGGAGGGAGCAAGGCUCUCCUGCACGGAGCCCUGACCCAGGACAGAGCUCCGGGAAAGGAAGGUAACUGGUUGUUUCUGUCCCGAGGAGAACAUGCCGUGACCGUGAAUCUUCAUUCGGCUGUCCCCAAAGUGACAAACAUCCCCCAGCGUCCAUGCUGCUGCUUCCCCGGCAAUUUCUCUGUUUACAGGAUGUCUGGGGUGUCUAGACAGGCUGGGGUGGGGUGGGGGGAGUCAGAGAGUGGAGUCCCAAGGCAGUUCUCAGACGGCACACGGCUAUUUCUGCACAGAACAGCUAAAACCAAAAGACUGAAAUCAGCCUCUGCCUGGAGAGUUCAUUAAAUAGAAAUAUGCUUAA